rnacentral:rRNA from 1 species
AGUGAACGCUGGCGGUAGGCCUAACACAUGCAAGUCGAACGGCAGCACAGUAAGAGCUUGCUCUUACGGGUGGCGAGUGGCGGACGGGUGAGGAAUACAUCGGAAUCUACUUUUUCGUGGGGGAUAACGUAGGGAAACUACGCUAAUACCGCAUAAGACCUACGGGGGAAAGCAGGGGAUCUUUGGACCUUGCGCGAUUGAAUGAGCCGAUGUCGGAUUAGCUAGUUGGCGGGGUAAAGGCCCACCAAGGCGACGAUCCGUAGCUGGUCUGAGAGGAUGAUCAGCCACACUGGAACUGAGACACGGUCCAGACUCCUACGGGAGGCAGCAGUGGGGAAUAUUGGACAAUGGGCGCAAGCCUGAUCCAGCCAUACCGCGUGUGUGAAGAAGGCCUUCGGGUUGUAAAGCCCUUUUGUUGGGAAAGAAAAGCAGCAGGUUAAUACCCCGCUGUUCUGACGGUACCCAAAGAAUAAGCACCGGCUAACUUCGUG